UACGUAGGGGGCAAGCGUUGUCCGGAAUCAUUGGGCGUAAAGCGCGUGUAGGCGGCUCGAUAAGUCUGCUGUGAAAGUCCAGGGCUCAACCCUGGGAUGCCGGUGGAUACUGUCGAGCUCGAGUCCGGAAGAGGCGAGUGGAAUUCCUGGUGUAGCGGUGAAAUUCGUAGAUAUCGGGAGGAACACCAGUGGCGAAGGCGGCGAUCUGGGAAGAUACUGACGCUGAGGUGCGAAAGCGUGGGGAGCAAACAGG
rnacentral:rRNA from 1 species